rnacentral:rRNA from 1 species
UACGUAGGGUGCAAGCGUUGUCCGGAAUUAUUGGGCGUAAAGAGCUCGUAGGCGGUCUGUCGCGUCUGCUGUGAAAACUCGGGGCUCAACCCCGAGCCUGCAGUCGAUACGGGCAGACUAGAGUGCUGUAGGGGAGACUGGAAUUCCUGGUGUAGCGGUGAAAUGCGCAGAUAUCAGGAGGAACACCGGUGGCGAAGGCGGGUCUCUGGGCAGUAACUGACGCUGAGGAGCGAAAGCGUGGGGAGCGAACAGG